UACGUAGGGUGCAAGCGUUGUCCGGAAUUAUUGGGCGUAAAGAGCUCGUAGGCGGUUUGUCGCGUCUGCUGUGAAAACGCGAGGCUCAACCUCGCGCCUGCAGUGGGUACGGGCAGACUAGAGUGCGGUAGGGGAGAUUGGAAUUCCUGGUGUAGCGGUGGAAUGCGCAGAUAUCGGGAGGAACACCGAUGGCGAAGGCAGAUCUCUGGGCUGUAACUGACGCUGAGGAGCGAAAGCGUGGGGAGCGAACAGG
rnacentral:rRNA from 1 species